rnacentral:misc_RNA from 1 species
GCUUCCCUCUGCCACUCGAUUGCUUGCUUUUACAUCCCACCCAUGUAGACCAACUAUAAUUAAUACUAAUAUCUUGCAAAAAUGAAACUAGAUAAUCCUAGGAAUUCUAGGACUCACUUUUGAAAGAGAAAUUUCUGGAAAGAAUCCCAACCCAACAAAGAUAUCCACUCCAUUUUCCUAAAAUCCUUGCUGUGUCGAGUCAUUUGCUCCUAUUUUGGAAGAUCUCUGCCAUGGUUCAAUUCAUAGCCGCACACAGCAAGCAACCUAUUUGCUAAUACCACUCACCAGAAACCUUGAACAAAAAAUCAGCUCAAUCUUGGUGCGUUGCCUGGUGUGCAUCUUCCAUUAACUUUGGAUAGCAAGAUCC